rnacentral:rRNA from 1 species
AGCGAACGCUGGCGGCAGGCCUAACACAUGCAAGUCGAACGAACCCUUCGGGGUUAGUGGCGGACGGGUGAGUAACACGUGGGAACGUGCCUUGAGGUUCGGAAUAACUCAGGGAAACUUGUGCUAAUACCGAAUGUGCCCUUCGGGGGAAAGCUUUAUCGCCUUUAGAGCGGCCCGCGUCUGAUUAGCUAGUUGGUGAGGUAAAGGCUCACCAAGGCUACGAUCAGUAGCUGGUCUGAGAGGAUGACCAGCCACAUUUGGACUGAGACACGCCCCAAACUCCUACGGGAGGCCGCAGUGGGGAAUCUUGCGCAAUGGGCGAAAGCCUGACGCAGCCAUGCCGCGUGGAUGAUGAAGGUCUUAGGAUUGUAAAAUCCUUUCACCGGUGAAGAUAAUGACUGUAGCCGGAGAAGAAGCCCCGGCUAACUUCGUGCCAGCCGCCGCAGUAAUAC